rnacentral:rRNA from 1 species
AGUGAACGCUGGCGGUAGGCCUAACACAUGCAAGUCGAACGGCAGCACAGUAAGAGCUUGCUCUUACGGGUGGCGAGUGGCGGACGGGUGAGGAAUACAUCGGAAUCUACUUUUUCGUGGGGGAUAACGUAGGGAAACUUACGCUAAUACCGCAUACGACCUACGGUUGAAAGCAGUGGAUCUUCGGACCUUGCGCGAUUGAAUGAGCCGAUGUCGGAUUAGCUAGUUGGCGGGGUAAAGGCCCACCAAGGCGACGAUCCGUAGCUGGUCUGAGAGGAUGAUCAGCCACACUGGAACUGAGACACGGUCCAGACUCCUACGGGAGGCAGCAGUGGGGAAUAUUGGACAAUGGGCGCAAGCAUGAUCCAGCCAGACCGCGUGGGUGAAGAAGGCCUUCGGGUUGUAAAGACCUUUUGUUGGGAAAGAAAAGCAGCAGGUUAAUACCCCGCUGUUCUGACGGUACCCAAAGAAUAAGCACCGGCUAACUUCGUG